rnacentral:rRNA from 1 species
GACGAACGCUGGCGGCGUGCCUAAUACAUGCAAGUAGGACGCAGUUGCGAACGUGUGAGUAACGCGUAGGUAACUACCUAUUAGAGGGGGGUAACUAUUGGAAACGAUAGCCAAUACCGCAUACUAGUAGAUGGACCUGCGUUGUAUUAGCUAGUAGGUAGGGUAAUGGCCUACCUAGGCAACGAUACAUAGCCGAGUCGGGGGGGGGGAAGGCCCCACUGGGACUGGACCACGGCCAGAACUCCUACGGAGGGCGGCGUAGGGAAUCCUUGGGAAUGGGGGGAAAGCUGGACGGGCAAAGCCGGGGGAGUGAAGAAGGUUUUCCGGUCGUAAAGCUCUGUUGUUAAGGAAGCGGUACUUAACCAGAAAGGGACGGCUAACUACGUGCCAGCAGCCGCGGUAAUAC